UGGUUUUAGCACGUAGGCGCCGUGGAUGGCGAAUCGUGCAUGCUGCUGGCACGAAUCAGCAGUAUCUUUAGAAGAUUUCUA
rfam:Glossina morsitans morsitans, isolate Yale, WGS project CCAG01000000 data, contig: ctg10005200